rnacentral:rRNA from 1 species
GUAGGGUGCAAGCGUUAUCCGGAAUCAUUGGGCGUAAAGAGCUCGUAGGCGGUUCAGCAAGUCGGCUGUGAAAUCCCGAGGCUUAACCUCGGAACUGCAGUCGAUACUGCUGUGACUAGAGUCCGGUAGAGGAGAAUGGAAUUCCCGGUGUAGCGGUGAAAUGCGCAGAUAUCGGGAGGAACACCAGUAGCGAAGGCGGUUCUCUGGGCCGGUACUGACGCUGAGGAGCGAAAGCGUGGGGUAGCAAACAGGAUUAGAUACCCUGGUAGUCCACGCCGUAAACGUUGGACACUAGGUGUGGCGUUCCGACCAACGGGGUGCCGUGCCGAAGCUAACGCAUUAAGUGUCCCCGCCUGGGGAGUACGGCCGCAAGGCUA